rnacentral:rRNA from 1 species
GACGUAGGGCGCGAGCGUUGUCCGGAUUUAUUGGGCGUAAAGAGCUCGUAGGCGGCUUGUCGCGUCGACUGUGAAAACCCGCGGCUCAACUGCGGGCCUGCAGCCGAUACGGGCAGGCUAGAGUUCGGUAGGGGAGACUGGAAUUCCUGGUGUAGCGGUGAAAUGCGCAGAUACCAGGAAGAACACCCGUGGCGAAGGCGGCUCUCUGGGACGGUACUGACGCUGAGACGCGAAAGCGUGGGGAGCGAACAGG